rnacentral:rRNA from 1 species
CAAUAGCGUAUAUUAAAAUUGUUGCGGUUAAAACGCUCGUAGUUGAAUAUCUGCUUAGUACCCCCGGUCCACCCCAGUGGUGUGUACUCGGUCUGUGCUUAGCAUUUUUCUGGGGAACGCGUUCGCACUUCAUUGUGUGGCGCUUGAUCUGGUACUUUUACUUUGAGGAAAUGAGAGUGUUUCAAGCAGGCAGUUUGUUUUGAAUACGUUAGCAUGGAAUAAUAACGUGGGACUUCGUUCUAGAGUUGUUGGUUUUUGGAGCGAUGGAAUGAAAAUAGGGUAGCUGGGGGCAUUCGUAUUUAACUGUCAGAGGUGAAAUUCUUGGAUUUUUUAAAGACGAACUACUGCGAAAGCAUCUGCCCAGGAUGCUUUUAUUAAUCAAGAACGAAAGUUAGGGGAUCGA